UCCACAUUCGGGAAUACAUUUGACAAUGGGAAACUACAAAAUAAAUUAGGCACGAGUUUUAAUGAUUAGGAGACAAUCUAAAAAAAGUAAAUAAUUAAUCGAUUCAAAUAUUCAGUAGUGAUAUAUAUAUAUAUAUAUAUAGAAUUAAGCUGGAAUACUAUUAAUAGUAAAACUCUCUUUUUGCUACCAAGUUUUUAACCCUUGGAUGAAAAAUUGUAGGGUCAGGAUGAUAUUAGUCGGUUAGAGUUGAGUGGUCCCCACUGGGUUAUAGUAUUUAAUCCAAUGGUUAGAAAUAAUGAAAAGAGUUGAUCCAAAGGCUAAAAAACUAGUAGCAACAAUAUGAUUUUGCUACUAAUAGUAGCCCGGUCCAACUAUAUAUAUAUAUAGGCUGGGGCUAGUAUUAUCUUAUGAGUAUUGAACCCCUUAUACUCAUAAAUUUUUAACCGUUGAUUGAUGGGAUGUGUGGUUAGGAUGAUGGUGGCCCCCACUUAAAAUGAUAGUGGUCUCCUAGGGUUGAGUGGGUAGUUGGUUGAAUAGUAUGAUCUAACGGGUGGAAAUGAUCAAUGGAAUAAAUCUAAGGGCAGAAAACUUAUGAGGAUAAGGGAGCUAAUACUUAUAAAAGUAUAGUAGCCGGA
rnacentral:lncRNA from 1 species